rnacentral:rRNA from 1 species
CAGUCGCCGCGGUAAUACGUAGGGUGCAAGCGUUAUCCGGAAUUAUUGGGCGUAAAGAGCUCGUAGGCGGCUUGUUGCGUCGGUUGUGAAAGCCCGGGGCUUAACCCCGGGUCUGCAGUCGAUACGGGCAGGCUAGAGUGUGGUAGGGGAGAUCGGAAUUCCUGGUGUAGCGGUGAAAUGCGCAGAUAUCAGGAGGAACACCGGUGGCGAAGGCGGCAACCUGGUCCUUGGCUGACGCUGAGGCGCGAAAGCGUGGGGAGCAAACAGGAUUAGAUACCCCCGUAGUCCCUGUCUCUUAUAC